rnacentral:rRNA from 1 species
GACGAACGCUGGCGGCGUGCUUAACACAUGCAAGUCGAACGGUAAGGCCCUUCGGGGUACACGAGUGGCGAACGGGUGAGUAACACGUGGGUGAUCUGCCCUGCACUUCGGGAUAAGCCUGGGAAACUGGGUCUAAUACCGGAUAGGACCCUGGGAUGCAUGUCCUGGGGUGGAAAGCUUUUGCGGUGUGGGAUAGGCCCGCGGCCUAUCAGCUUGGUGGUGGGGUAAUGGCGUACCAAGGCGACGACGGGUAGCCGGCCUGAGAGGGUGACCGGUCACACUGGGACUGAGAUACGGCCCAGACUCCUACGGGAGGCAGCAGUGGGGAAUAUUGCACAAUGGGCGCAAGCCUGAUGCAGCGACGCCGCGUGAGGGAUGACGGCCUUCGGGUUGUAAACCUCUUUCAGCUAUGACGAAGCGCAAGUGACGGUAGUAGCAGAAGAAGGACCGGCCAACUACGUGCCAGCAGCCGCGGUAA